CCACGCAGGGACUCCCCGCCCGGGAGGGGCGAGAGCGACAGCGACAGCAGACAGCGGGGUACCGAAGACGGCUUUUCACGCCCCUUGGCAGGGGUGGCGGUGAUCCACACCAUGUGCAGGUUCUCAGCCCUGAAGUCACAGCUCCCUGCUUCCUCCCAGAGCAGCUCUGACAGCCUCCGCCUGGCUUGUGCAGCGAACGCUUCAGUGUUAGCAGGCUACGACACUCACUCAAAGCGUCCGGGCGAAGACCACUCCUCUGUUGUGUACGGGGCACCGCUGAAGGCUGUUCGGCAGGAGCGUCUUGUGGCCAAAAUGCCGGCAGAAGAGCAGUCUGAGCCCUUGUACCACGGAGGAAGAGAAUGAAGCUCAGAGAUGUGAAGGGACUUUUCAAAUUGAUAAAUAAAAGUUGCAUAUAUUUCC